rnacentral:misc_RNA from 1 species
AUAUAUCAACCUCUUCAACAUUUGUUUUUGAGUGUUGGAUUGUGGGGGUUUUAUUUUGCUGGCCUCUCUGAGUUCAGCUCCCCUGAAAUACAUUAGCGGAACAAUUUGUUCAUUGGCGUGAUAAUUUAUCUAUGCUAUUGACAUGAAGCUGUUCAGCUUAUAACAGUCCAUUGACUUGGACAAAUUUUUAUUUAUUA